rnacentral:rRNA from 1 species
UGCGGUCGAGCGAACUGAUUAGAAGCUUGCUUCUAUGACGUUAGCGGCGGACGGGUGAGUAACACGUGGGCAACCUGCCUGUAAGACUGGGAUAACUUCGGGAAACCGAAGCUAAUACCGGAUAGGAUCUUCUCCUUCAUGGGAGAUGAUUGAAAGAUGGUUUCGGCUAUCACUUACAGAUGGGCCCGCGGUGCAUUAGCUAGUUGGUGAGGUAACGGCUCACCAAGGCAACGAUGCAUAGCCGACCUGAGAGGGUGAUCGGCCACACUGGGACUGAGACACGGCCCARACUCCUACGGGAGGCAGCAGUAGGGAAUCUUCCGCAAUGGACGAAAGUCUGACGGAGCAACGCCGCGUGAGUGAUGAAGGCUUUCGGGUCGUAAAACUCUGUUGUUAGGGAAGAACAAGUACGAGAGUAACUGCUUGUACCUUGACGGUACCUAACCAGAAAGCCACGGCUAACUACGUGCCAGCAGCCGCGGUAAUACGUAGGUGGCAAGCGUUAUCCGGAAUUAUUGGGCGUAAAGCGCGCGCAGGCGGUUUCUUAAGUCUGAUGUGAAAGCCCACGGCUCAACCGUGGAGGGUCAUUGGAAACUGGGGAACUUGAGUGCAGAAGAGAAAAGCGGAAUUUCCACGUGUAGCGGUGAAAUGCGAGAGAUGUGAGACACAGUGGCGAAGCGCUUUUUGUCUGUACUGACGCUGAGCGCGAAGCGUGGGGAGCAAACAGAUAGAUACCU